GGCGCGGCCGGCUCGUGCUUCGUCACGGCGCGCCCCCGCCUGCUCCCUCCCUCCCUCCCUCCCUCCCUCCCUCCCUAGCGGGCGCCAGAGGAGGCGGGUAGAGGGCGAGGCUUUCCGUCCGUCGCUCGGCUAGACGAGGCGCGCACUGUCCGAGCGGCGCCGGUGGGGGCUUCUCCGCGUCCGCCUCGGCUCCCCCAGCCCGAAGGAGCUCCUGGUCCACGUCCCAGCAAAUCCGGAGGGAUGUGAAAAGAGCAGGACUUGGUGACUGAGCUG
ensembl:lncRNA